GGUCAUGAAUCGGCUAUAAUUGAAAAAUUCAUCACCAGCGGAGCCGUCUCAAUUACAGCAGUAAUGUUUCAGUGCACAGCAGCGAAAUGCUUCCAGCACUACUGGAUCGGGCGUGACCAGCUGCAUUUUCACCUCUUCCAGGACAACAAUCCAAAGCUGAUUAAAACCGCAUCAAAGUCCUCCAGGUGACUCGGAUUGUUCAAUGCUCCAACUCUUGAGUUGCUGCUUGAUGUUAAAGCGGAUGUCGAAUGAAGAAGAAUCAGGAGCCUGGUGUCGGUAUACGACGUGGAUGCGGUAUCUCAACAAAAUAUGGUGCUGAAGCAAACGGGUCGCCCAGGAAUGAUCAUCGCUUGAUUGAUACCAUUCGCAUCCGGGUCUCGGUGUAGAAGUUAUCCCGGAACGAGCUAUAACAUUCGUGGUCGAUCGAAUUCAAACUGUCAAGGUCGUGAUUGACGCCUUUCGGUUAACCAAUCCUACCGCGCUUGAGCUGGGCCAGGAAUCCAGGCAAAUAACUUAGAAUAACCUUAUUAACAUCGGCUACCGGAAGUACGAGCUGAGGCAUAAUAAAAACCCUGGAUGGAUAUUUUUACGUGUCAAAUGACACUGAGCAAUCAACAAAGAGUACACAGACCCGGGAUUCCCUGUGAACGAACUACUUUAGCUGUCGCACGACAUCCUUGACGACUAUAUGAAUCAGGUACUCGAGCUGCUGAAAACCGAAUUCAACUUGGCCAUCACUCUGUUGCGGUUGAUUUCGACGCGAUCAGCAGCACCAAGGCGGACAUCACAUACGAACGCUAAAAGUACCUAUCGUGCCGUAUAUCCAUGUAUGCCCUAGGUAUCCGAUAUUUUGAAAAAGUACGCCGAAGUUGGUAUCACCCGAACGAGCUGCAAAAACGGUACACAUUUUCCGCCACGCUUCGGAAAGGACACCCGGUUCCAGCAGGUCGUGCUCAAUUUUCAGCAGAUAUUUUCAUGGACUUCCCUGGAUAACAUCAUCGCACCCGAGUUUUUCCAGAAUUCGUUUUACUGGUACGGUAGAAAGUAUCGUUCACCACAGCGCCUGACCUUUUUUUUCUCAACAGAUUUUAGGCGUCGUUAUGGCUUAUUCAUCU